GGCAAGAAACGUUCUAUCGGAUGCUAAACUAAGAUAAUGUUGCAUCAUCACAGAUAGAAGCAAUACAUUAAGAUGUAAGCACACAACAACACCAACUCUGCAUCUUAAAUCCUCUACUUCUUCAUUUGGCACCAACGCUCAUUUCCAACUAUUUUGCUAAGAACAGGAGGCCGAAAGGAGAUUCACAUAUCAAGCCCAAGAGUUGUCGAAAGCAGCCGAAGAAAUCGCCUGAGUGAAUUCCUGAUAGCUGAUCCUGCCAUCUCCAUCAGUAUCAGCUUCUCUGAUCAUCCCAGUAAGUUCUUCAGCAGUCAAAGCAUGUCCAAGCUUCGCCAUAGAAUGAGCCAAUUCUGCAGCCGUAAUAUAACCAUUUCCAUCCCUAUCAAACAUCUUAAAUAGCUGUUUCAAUUGUUCCUCUGUGUAAGGGGACUUCGCUGGAAGAAGUUCCGGUGCUACGAGUGAUACAAACUCCGAGAAUUCAACAAGGCCAUUGUCGUUUUUAUCCGCCUUUUGAAUCAAAGUUUCGAGCUGAUCAGGACUUGGUUUUAAACCAAGAGACCUCAAUAGCGCGCCAAGCUCGAGUUGGGUUAGACUCCCAUCAUCAUUUCUGUCGAACGAUCGGAAAAUUUC
rnacentral:misc_RNA from 1 species